rnacentral:rRNA from 1 species
AGUCGAGAGGGUUCGGCCCUCGGCAGACUGCUCAGUAACACGUAGAUAACCUAACCUUAGGUGGAAGAUAACCUCGGGAAACUGAGAAUAAUAUUCCAUAGAUCUAGGAUGCUGGAAUGCAUCUAGAUUGAAAGUUCCGACGCCUAAGGAUGGGUCUGCGGACUAUCAGGUUGUAGUCAGGGUAAAGACCUGACUAGCCUACGACGGAUAUGGGUUGUGAGAGCAAUAGCCCAGAGACGAUAUCUGAGACACGAUAUCGGGCCCUACGGGGCGCAGCAGGCGCGAAAUCUUCGCAAUGUGCGAAAGCACGAUGAGGGGAUCCCAAGUGCUGGCACGUAAGUGUCAGCUGUUUCUUAGUCUAAAAAACUGAGAGAGUAAGGGCUGGGUAAGACGGGUGCCAGCCGCCGCGGUAAUACCUGCAGCUCAAGUGGUGGCCGCUAUUAUUGGGCCUAAAACGUCCGUAGCCUGUUUAGUAAAUGCUUGGGUAAAUUGUGUAGCUUAACUAUACGAAUACCGGGUAGACUGCUAAACUUGGGACCGGGAGAGGCUAGAGGUACUCCUGGGGUAGAGGUGAAAUUCUGUAAUCCUAGGGGGACCACCAGUGGCGAAGGCGUCUAGCUAGAACGGGUCUGACGGUGAGGGACGAAGCCCUGGGGCGCAAACCGGAUUAGAUACCCGGGUAGUCCAGGGUGUAAACGCUGCUUGCUG